AUUGAACGCUGGCGGCAGGCUUAACACAUGCAAGUCGAACGGUAGCAGGAGAAAGCUUGCUUUCUUGCUGACGAGUGGCGGACGGGUGAGUAAUGCUUGGGAAUCUGGCUUAUGGAGGGGGAUAACUACGGGAAACUGUAGCUAAUACCGCGUAGAAUCGGAAGAUGAAAGUGCGGGACCGCAAGGCCGCAUGCCAUGAGAUGAGCCCAAGUGGGAUUAGGUAGUUGGUGGGGUAAGGGCCUACCAAGCCUGCGAUCUCUAGCUGGUCUGAGAGGAUGGCCAGCCACACUGGAACUGAGACACGGUCCAGACUCCUACGGGAGGCAGCAGUGGGGAAUAUUGCGCAAUGGGGGGAACCCUGACGCAGCCACGCCGCGUGAAUGAAGAAGGCCUUCGGGUUGUAAAGUUCUUUCGGUAUUGAGGAAGGUUGAUGUGUUAAUAGUACAUCAAAUUGACGUUAAAUACAGAAGAAGCACCGGCUAACUCCGUG
rnacentral:rRNA from 1 species